AUUGAACGCUGGCGGCAUGCCUUACACAUGCAAGUCGAACGGCAGCACGGACUUCGGUCUGGUGGCGAGUGGCGAACGGGUGAGUAAUAUAUCGGAACAUACCUUGUAGUGGGGGAUAACUAUCCGAAAGGAUAUCUAAUACCGCAUACGCUCUAAGGAGGAAAGCGGGGGAUCGUAAGACCUCGUGCUAUAAGAGUGGCCGAUAUCUGAUUAGCUAGUUGGUGGGGUAAAGGCUCACCAAGGCGACGAUCAGUAGCCGGUCUGAGAGGACGACCAGCCACACUGGAACUGAGACAAGGUCCAGACUCCUACGGGAGGCAGCAGUGGGGAAUUUUGGACAAUGGGGGCAACCCUGAUCCAGCAAUGCCGCGUGAGUGAAGAAGGCCUUCGGGUUGUAAAGCUCUUUUGUCAGGGAAGAAACGGUUGUGGCUAAUAUCCUUGGCUAAUGACGGUACCUGAAGAAUAAGCACCGGCUAACUACGUGCCAGCCGCCGCAGUAACAC
rnacentral:rRNA from 1 species